CUCACUCUUGCCUGUGCUCCGUUUGUGUCUGUGAUUGUUAAGUAUGUCUUCCCGGCACAACGUCAUCUUUCCAAGAAAGACCGACCCCACCCCAUCCGUGCCUUCCUCUUCCUUGCCUCUUCGGUCUGGGGUAUUUGCUGGAGCGUAUUUUUGCCCGGAUCUACUCACCUCUGGCAUAGGGAACUGGAUCCAUGCCCGACGUGUCUCUCCCCAGCAGCACAGUGUAUAGGGCACUCAGUGAAAGAUUGUUGGAUUGAAUUGAACCGAGAGAGGCAUCCAAGCAGCAGACAUCUUUCCAUCCUGAACUGUGUGCGAGCAGGCAGGCCCUGGGCCUAGGCAUUCCGGAAGCUUCCUUCUUGCCUGUGAUAUUGGAGAAUCCUGUUGUCCCAAAGCCCUCUGCCUCUUAGGAGCUCCUGGGAUGGCUUCAUCUUCCAUAUUUCAACCUGGAGAACACUGGAGAACGGAGCUCCAACUCACUGUCACUGUUUCCGGAAAUAAAAACUGAGGGACGACUCUGCUGAUGGCGAUG
rnacentral:lncRNA from 1 species